CUGCAAACAACUGGCUACCUUUUCAACGACGUCAAAAGACAUAAAAGUUGGACUCACCGACGUGGACUCUUUGGGCUUGGGAACCCCGAGAAGCUCCCGGGCGUAAAGCGCCUCCUCCAGGAUCCUCUCGUAGCUGAUGCUGACCGGUACCAAGCAGAUGUCGUACACCUCGCCCUUGAGGAAAGGCUCCA